GAGUUUGAUCGUGGCUCAGAUUGAACGCUGGCGGCAUGCCUUACACAUGCAAGUCGAACGGUAACAGGUCUUCGGAUGCUGACGAGUGGCGAACGGGUGAGUAAUACAUCGGAACGUGCCCGAUCGUGGGGGGAUAACGGAGCGAAAGCUUUGCUAAUACCGCAUACGAUCUACGGAUGAAAGCAGGGGACCGCAAGGCCUUGCGCGGACGGAGCGGCCGAUGGCAGAUUAGGUAGUUGGUGGGAUAAAAGCUUACCAAGCCGACGAUCUGUAGCUGGUCUGAGAGGACGACCAGCCACACUGGGACUGAGACACGGCCCAGACUCCUACGGGAGGCAGCAGUGGGGAAUUUUGGACAAUGGGCGAAAGCCUGAUCCAGCCAUGCCGCGUGCAGGAUGAAGGCCUCGGUGU
rnacentral:rRNA from 1 species